UUAGGGGUUUCUGGUUUUUCAAGAAAUGAAUUUAAUUCAUGCGUCUUAUUUAGAGUUUUAUUAUUUGUUUAUUUAUUUUUAUUUGGCGUUAAGAUUGGGAGGGAUUAGCUUCUUAUUUUAUUUUUAUAAUUUUUUGUUUAUUUAGUCUUGUGGGUUUUAUAGUGAUUUUCAAUUUGAUUAUGUUAAAAUUUUAUUUGUUUUGUUCUGUUAUUUUCGUUUAUUUAAUUAUUUAUUGAAAUGUACUCUUUAUCUUUGGUUUUGGUUAGUAAUUAUUGUAGAAUUAGUAAAUUUUUUGUUAGAUUAUUUUAUUUGUGUUAAUUUUCUUUGAGGAACUAGGCAAAUUUCAUGUCCGCCUGUUUAACAAAAACAUCUUUUCUCGUUAGUUUUUGAAGUAUGGCCUGCCCGCUGACUUUAGUGUUGAAGGGCCGCGGUAUUUUGACCGUGCAAAGGUAGCAUAGUCAUUAGUUCUUUAAUUGUGAUCUGGUAUGAAUGGCUUGACGAGGCAUGGGCUGUCUUAAUUUUGAAUUGUUUAUUGAAUUUGGUCUUUGAGUUAAAAUUCUUAGAUGUUUUUAUGGGACGAGAAGACCCUAUAGAGUUUAACAUUUGUUAUGGUCCCCUUUCUGUUUGUGAGGGUUCAUUGGGCCGUUUAAUAUGUUUUGUUGGGGUGAUGGGAGGGAUUAAUUUAA
rnacentral:rRNA from 1 species